CGGGGCGGGGGCACGGGGGGCUUACGGGAGGCAGCAGUGGGGAAUUUUGGACAAUGGGGGAAACCCUGAUCCAGCAAUGCCGCGUGUGCGAAGAAGGCCUUCGGGUUGUAAAGCACUUUUGUCAGGGAAGAAAUCCUUUGGGCUAAUACCCUAGGGGGAUGACGGUACCUGAAGAAUAAGCACCGGCUAACUACGUGCCAGCAGCCGCGGUAAUACGUAGGGUGCAAGCGUUAAUCGGAAUUACUGGGCGUAAAGCGUGCGCAGGCGGUUGUGUAAGACAGGUGUGAAAUCCCCGGGCUUAACCUGGGAAUUGCAUUUGUGACUGCACGACUAGAGUGUGUCAGAGGGGGGUGGAAUUCCACGUGUAGCAGUGAAAUGCGUAGAUAUGUGGAGGAACACCAAUGGCGAAGGCAGCCCCCUGGGAUAACACUGACGCUCAUGCACGAAAGCGUGGGGAGCAAACAGGAUUAGAUACCCUGGUAGUCCACGCCCUAAACGAUGUCAACUAGUUGUUGGGGAUUUACUUCCUCGGUAACGUAGCUAACGCGUAAGUGACCGCCUGGAAACCA
rnacentral:rRNA from 1 species